rnacentral:pre_miRNA from 1 species
GAUGAGAGGAACGUUGUCUGGCUCGAGGUGAUAGAGAUGAUGGAAGAGUACUUAACUCAUUCAUCACUAACUCCCAAUCUCGGACCAGGCUUCAUUCCCCUCAAC